AACGCGAAGAACCUUACCUACCCUUGACAUGUACGGAAGCCCGAUGAGAGUUGGGUGUGCCCGAAAGGGAGCCGUAACACAGGUGCUGCAUGGCUGUCGUCAGCUCGUGUCGUGAGAUGUUGGGUUAAGUCCCGCAACGAGCGCAACCCUUGUCAUUAAUUGCCAUCAUUAAGUUGGGCACUUUAAUGAGACUGCCGGUGACAAACCGGAGGAAGGUGGGGAUGACGUCAAGUCCUCAUGGCCCUUAUGGGUAGGGCUUCACACGUAAUACAAUGGCCGGUACAGAGGGCUGCCAACCCGCGAGGGGGAGCUAAUCUCAGAAAGCCGGUCGUAGUCCGGAUUGUUCUCUGCAACUCGAGAGCAUGAAGUCGGAAUCGCUAGUAAUCGCGGAUCAGCAUGUCGCGGUGAAUACGUUCCCGGGCCUUGUACACACCGGCUAC
rnacentral:rRNA from 1 species